rnacentral:rRNA from 1 species
GUACCACCUGAUCCCUUUCCGAACUCAGAAGUGAAACGCAGUAGCGCCGAUGGUAGUGUGGGAGUUCCCAUGUGAGAGUAGGACAUUGCUAGAC